GAUGAACGCUGGCGGCGUGCCUAAUACAUGCAAGUCGAGCGAACGGACGAGAAGCUUGCUUCUCUGAUGUUAGCGGCGGACGGGUGAGUAACACGUGGAUAACCGACCUAUAAGACUGGGAUAACUUCGGGAAACCGGAGCUAAUACAGGAUAAUAUGUUGAACGGCAUGGUUCAACAGUGAAAGACGGUCUUGCUGUCACUUAUAGAUGGAACCGCGCUGCAUUAGCUAGUUGGUAAGGUAACGGCUUACCAAGGCAACGAUGCAUAGCCGACCUGAGAGGGUGAUCGGCCACACUGGAACUGAGACACGGUCCAGACUCCUACGGGAGGCAGCAGUAGGGAAUCUUCCGCAAUGGGCGAAAGCCUGACGGAGCCACGCCGCGUGAGUGAUGAAGGUCUUCGGAUCGUAAAACUCUGUUAGUAGGGAAGAACAUAUGUGUAAGUAACUGUGCACAUCUUGACGGUACCUAAUCAGAAAGCCCCGGCUAACUACGUG
rnacentral:rRNA from 1 species